AGACGUCUACAUUAGAUACCCCGGUAGUCCCAGCCGUAAACUAUGCGCGUUAGGUGUAUCGGUGACCACGAGUCACCGAGGUGCCGAAGGGAAACCGUGAAACGUGCCGCCUGGGAAGUACGGUCGCAAGGCUGAAACUUAAAGGAAUUGGCGGGGAGCACCACAACAGGUGGAGCCUGCGGUUUAAUUGGACUCAACGCCGGGAAGCUCACCGGAUAGGACAGCAGAAUGAUUGCCGGGCUGAAGACCCUGCAUGACUAGCUG
rnacentral:rRNA from 1 species